rnacentral:rRNA from 1 species
GCACAUAAGACAUGCAAGUCGAACGGAAGUCGUUAUACUGAAUUUGAAAUGAACUGUGAACUUGUUCAGAGGGACUAGAUGAUGAUUUAUAACAAUGGCUUUAGUGGCGGACUGGUGAGUAACGCGUAGGUAACCUGCCUAUCAGAGGGGAAUAACAGUGAGAAAUCAUUGCUAAUACCGCAUAUGCUCACGGUACCACAUGGUACAGUGAGGAAAGGAGAAAUCCGCUGAUAGAUGGGCCUGCGUCUGAUUAGCUAGUUGGCAAGGUAAAGGCUUACCAAGGCAACGAUCAGUAGCCGGACUGAGAGGUUAAACGGCCACAUUGGGACUGAGAUACGGCCCAGACUCCUACGGGAGGCAGCAGUCGGGAAUAUUGCGCAAUGGAGGAAACUCUGACGCAGUGACGCCGCGUAUAGGAAGAAGGUUUUCGGAUUGUAAACUAUUGUCGUUAGGGAAGAUACAAGACAGUACCUAAGGAGGAAGCCCCGGCUAACUAUGUGCCAGCAGCCGCGGUAAUACAUAGGGGGCGAGCGUUAUCCGGAAUUAUUGGGUGU